rnacentral:rRNA from 1 species
ACAAGUCACUGUUGUCAGUGUUCGAUUAAGCCAUGCGAGUUAAAUGUUCUUCGUGAACAUAGCAGACUGCUCAGUAACACGUGGAUAACCUGCCCUUAGGACUGGCAUAACCCCGGGAAACUGGGGAUAAUUCCGGAUAGAUCAUAAAUGCUGGAAUGCUUUAUGAUUGAAAGGUUUCGACCGCCUUAGGAUGGAUCUGCGGCCUAUCAGGUUGUAGUGGGUGUAAUGUACCUACUAGCCUACGACGGGUACGGGUUGUGGAAGCAAGAGCCCGGAGAUGGAUUCUGAGACAUGAAUCCAGGCCCUACGGGGCGCAGCAGGCGCGAAAACUUUACAAUGCGGGAAACCGUGAUAAGGGAACACUGAGUGCUAGCAUUUAUGUUAGCUGUCCACAUGUGUAAAUAGCAUGUGAUAGCAAGGGCUGGGCAAGACCGGUGCCAGCCGCCGCGGUAACACCGGCAGCCCGAGUGGUGAUCACUAUUAUUGGGUCUAAAGGGUCCGUAGCCGGUUUAAUCAGUCUUCUGGGAAAUCUAAUCGCUUAACUAUUAGGCUUCCAGGGGAUACUGUUAGACUUGGGACCGGGAGAGGUAAGAGGUACUGCAGGGGUAGGAGUGAAAUCUUGUAAUCCCUGUGAGACCACCAGUGGCGAAGGCGUCUUACCAGAACGGGUCCGACGGUGAGGGACGAAAGCUGGGGGCACGAACCGGAUUAGAUACCCGGGUAGUCCCAGCUGUAAACGAUGCUCGUUAGGUGUCAGGAACGGUGCGACUGUUUCUGGUGCCGAACGGAAGCCGUGAAACGAGCCACCUGGG